rnacentral:lncRNA from 1 species
GUGUGAAAUCGGCAACCUCAGCGACCGAAUGAACCAUCGCCGGCGAUGCGCCGGCGGAUAAAAGCGUGUUGGCCACGAGGUCCAUUGAGACGAAGUUGGUGAUGCACUGAACCAGCGGCGAUUGUCGCCGGACGGCCGUAAGGUGCGUCCACACGCCGGAGCUCCAUUCUUUUGAUUCCAUUCUGCUUAACCAAUCGUCAAUCACGAUUCAAUUAUAUAUCAGAAACACGGUUUGGUUUUAAUUUCAUAAAGCCGAGAAUUUUUAUACCGGUUCAGACCCAACCAAAUAAUGCAAUUAAACCGGGAGGACACAGAGCGUACUGAAUUCUUAGCCAAACUAACUCUUGCAGAAGACUUGUACUCGAACACAGCUUCAUGAACGACUUCUAUUUAACGUUCGAGCUUCACUGAAACUACAUCUUUACUAAAUAAAAGCAGCUAAACUGAAGAAAACAAAUCCUUCAUUAUGUGCUUGCUUGUUUGCUCAUGGUUGAAAAUUUAGUAGUCCAAGUUGGUGAUGCACUGAACCAACGGCGAUUGUCGCCGGACGGCCGUGAGGUGCGUCCACACGCCGGAGCUCCAUUCUUUUGAUUCCAUUCUGCUUAACCAAUCGUCAAUCACGAUUCAAUU